AGUCUUUAGCAGUUAUUAAAGAUCACAUCUGCCCGGUGAAUUUUUUUUUUUUUACGGACUUAAAGUAGCGUGAUAAUUUGUCCCCUAAUUAGGGACUUGAAUGAAUGGUGCCACGACAGCAAAAAUGUCUCAUGUUUAAAUAAAGAAAUUGCUGCUAAGUGAAAAUGCUUAGAUUAAAAAACCGGACGAGAAGACCCUGUAGAACUUAACAUUUAUUUGUUUUAUUGGGGCAAUAGCAGAGAACAAGCCUCUGCCUUUACAUAAAAUUCUUUUAUAAAAAAAUCCUUAAAAAGAAUAAAGAAAAGUUACCUCAGGGAUAACAGCGCUAUCCUGUUGGAGAGACCUAAUCAAUAACAGGGGUUGCGACCUCGAUGUUGGACUAAGACACCCAUGGGGGGUAGAUUUUCCAAAGGGUAACCUGUUCGGCUUUUAAAGUCUUACAUG
rnacentral:rRNA from 1 species